rnacentral:lncRNA from 1 species
CCUGGGUCACACCUGGGUCACACACCUGGGUCACACAACCAUGUCCCACACCUGUGUCACACCUGGGUCACACACCUGGGUCACACACCCGUGUCACACCUGGGUCACACCUGGGUCACACCUGGGUCACACACCUGGGUCACACCCAUGUCACACACCUGUGUCACACCUGGGUCACACACCUGGGUCACACACCCGUGUCACACAACCAUGUCACACACCUGUGUCACACCUGGGUCACACACCUGGGUCACACACCCAUGUCACACACCCAUGUCCCACACCUGUGUCACACCUGGGUCACACACCUGGGUCACACCCAUGUCACACACCCGUGUCACACCUGGGUCACACCUGGGUCACACACCUGUGUCACACACCCAUGUCACACACCCAUGUCACACCCAUGUCACAGACCCGUGUCACACCCGUGUCACACACCUGUGUCACACCUGCAGGGGCCCAGCGGGGUGUUUGCACACACGUGUGCACAAGGUGAACCCCUGGGCAGGUGUCACACAGCUGCACACGUGUGUGCCAGUGUCCCACGGCUGUGACACCUGUGGCAGGCCCUGCCAGCUCCCCAGCCCUGCUGCCCGCGGGGGUCUGUGUGUGUGUGCCCCCCCAGAAAUCCCUCUCCCCCUGGUGCUGUCAGGGGCUGUCCCAGCCCCUCGCCCCUUCCUGGCCCCCCGUGUCCCCUGUGCCCUCCCCUGUAGGUCCCUGUAGGUGUUUGGGGGCCGGCGGGCGCCUGGCGGGGGUCCCGUGUCCCCCCGGGUGGUCCCCACGGCCAGUUUAGGAACAUGCCGUCCGUUGUUUGCUCAUUAAAGACCGUUCACAGCGCCUGGCCUGCGCCUCAUUGGGGUCUGGGGGUCCCGGGGCUCUGGGACGGGCCUUGGGGACAGCGCUCAGGACCCCAGGGUCACAGCACCCGGGGGCAAACAGGACCCAGGAGAGCGCUGGGAGGUGAAAGAGCCGUGACAUGGGGACACAGGGGGGACAUGAGGGGACACAGGGACACACAGGAGAUACGUGGGGACACGGGCAGACAUUCAUGGGGACACAGGGAGGACAUGUGUGGGGACACGGUAAGACAAGGGGGGGUGACAAAGCUGGCCCUGUCGCCAGGUGGACACCUCUGCUCAGAUGCACAAACACAGGUGGGUGCGGGGGGGUCUCGAGCAGGCUCGGGGGUCUCUCAGG